CAGUCGCCGCGGGAAUACAGAGGGUGCGAGCGUUAAUCGGAAUUACUGGGCGUAAAGCGCACGCAGGCGGUCUGUCAAGUCGGAUGUGAAAUCCCCGGGCUCAACCUGGGAACUGCAUUCGAAACUGGCAGGCUAGAGUCUUGUAGAGGGGGGUAGAAUUCCAGGUGUAGCGGUGAAAUGCGUAGAGAUCUGGAGGAAUACCGGUGGCGAAGGCGGCCCCCUGGACAAAGACUGACGCUCAGGUGCGAAAGCGUGGGGAGCAAACAGGAUUAGAUACCCCUGUAGUCCCUGUCUCUUAUAC
rnacentral:rRNA from 1 species